rnacentral:rRNA from 1 species
AACGCUGAGACAGGUGCUGCAUGGCUGUCGUCAGCUCGUGUUGUGAAAUGUUGGGUUAAGUCCCGNAACGAGCGCAACCCUUUAUCCUUUGUUGCCAGCGAUUCGGUCGGGAACUCAAAGGAGACUGCCGGUGAUAAACCGGAGGAAGGUGGGGAUGACGUCAAGUCAUCAUGGCCCUUACGAGUAGGGCUACACACGUGCUACAAUGGCGCAUACAAAGAGAAGCGACCUCGCGAGAGCAAGCGGACCUCAUAAAGUGCGUCGUAGUCCGGAUCGGAGUCUGCAACUCGACUCCGUGAAGUCGGAAUCGCUAGUAAUCGUGGAUCAGAAUGCCACGGUGAAUACGUUCCCGGGCCUUGUACACACCGCCCGUCACACCAUGGGAGUGGGUUGCAAAAGAAGUAGGUAGCUUAACCUUCGGGAGGGCGCUUACCACUUUGUGAUUCAUGACUGGGGUGAAGUCGUAACAAGGUAGGCGUAGCGAG